rnacentral:rRNA from 1 species
UACGGGGGGAGCAAGCGUUGUUCGGAUUUACGGGGCGUAAAGGGCGCGUAGGCGGCCAGCACAAGUCAGUUGUGAAAUCUCCGAGCUUAACUCGGAAAGGUCAACUGAUACUGUGCGGCUAGAGUGCGGAAGGGGCAACUGGAAUUCUUGGUGUAGCGGUGAAAUGCGUAGAUAUGCGGAGGAACACCGAUGGCGAAGGCAAUCCCCUGGGCCUGCACUGACGCUCAUGCACGAAAGCGUGGGGAGCAAACAGG